GCACCGAUUCGUUGCGAAAACUAAAUAAUACCAAAACUUAUGAGUCGAGUUGGUAUUGUGACAUUGAGCGUUACCGCGCGCCGACACGAGGAUGUGACAUAAGCGACAUGUUACCCUACAUUAUGCUGAGAUGGAGGCACCCGCCAGUGUGAACAUAUAGUUUACGACGGGCUGCUUUCCUGACAUCAAUCAUAUUUCGAAACGCAGCCGCUAAAUGAAACGGUACGUCUGCUCCCGGGAGAGAGUUUCUCGGAGUUUCAGUGAGGAAUGAGUCUGGCAAGUCAGGCUCGACGGCCGGUAAGAAUGGCAGCGCGACUGUGCUCUGUAGAUCGGCUGAUUUACCAGGAGCUCCUGC